AUAAGCCCAUGGGCUUAUCCGCGGGAUUCUACGGUAGUACAAUCAUGUACCUAGUAUGGUUUGUUUACUUCUUCUCGCGAUGAUGUCUUUUUACCAGUGCAGUACCCAAGACAGAAGACUGCAAGAGUUUAUGGACUCUUGCCACUACUCGUACUACCGAGCACCCUGCUGUUUCUCGGCAGGUAAGUAGCUCAGCUUCUCAGUAUCGACGAAAGGAGUCUUGUGGAGUAGUGUGCGGCUGGCUCUGAGGAUUCUGGAGUCAGCGAAGUAACAAUUACAUUAAUUUUUGUUGUGUCAGAGUGUCCUUAUGAAUAUGAGACUGCGAAGUUGCUGCCGAUUCGAGAAAUCGCAGCUGGCUCUGACGCUGAGUGGACGCCGCUAGCGCGCUGGAGACAAGAAAGAGAGUUGCUCGGCGAGCGAAUAGCCAUUCGAGAGCGGAGUGGCCAAGACUCAGUCUGCACAAGACAAAGUAAAGGAUGUCCCUCCUGGUUACUAGCUCAGAGACAGCUAUUCGCCUAUUCUUUAGCUGUGAAACGAAGGGACGAUUCUUUAAGUGGAAGAACAAUCGUAGAUGUGCUGAUCUACAUGUACUUGCAUGUAGUAUCACCCAUUUAGCUGUGUUAUAGUGCUUGUAGAACUGAGUCCGUGGCAGUUGAGCCUCAUGAAGAAGAUCAGAGCAGAGUGUGAUAGGAUUAGCGCGACGUGGACAUUCGCCACUGGAAUAGGACAUCAUCUAUUAAUUUGCAUUAUGAACAAGUCACUGCCUAUCCCAAGCUCAAGUCUUCGAUUGCGUCAGUGCAGAAUUCCUGGCUGUAAUUGUGUGCAGCAUCCAAACGACAACAGCCAGUUCCAGAAAUUACACACUGAAGGCUUGCCGGUGUUCACUAAGCACUUCAAGUGUGUCCUGAGGCAGAACUGAAACGGCAUUGACAGAGUGUUACGUGAAGAAGACAGAGGUAUUACUAUUAGUCAGUAUCAGGAGUGUCAUACAACAUCAGGCAUUAUGGCAGAUAAGAGAUGAGACCAACAGGCUUGGCAACAUCAGCCAUAGCAAGAAUCACAGGCAUAACAAGAUCCGCAGUCAUAGCAGAAGCAACAGCCAUGGGAAGAGCAGGCAGCGUAGCAACAGCAAUCACAACAACGCAGACGCAAUAACAUUUUCAGUAGCCGUCCGUCUCAGUACUAACAGCAAAAUACAUAGCACGCUGAAUGAGCAGGAUUAUCGUUCCCAGGACGCAGGAGCAAAGCCCACAGCAGCAUUGCCGACGGCACCAGACCUGAGACUCAAUGUGUUGACUGGAGGAAGCCAAACCAGGGGUCGGUACGGCAGCAAUGACAGCAUGCGACGUGGCGAUGGGGAGAGCACACUGCCAUGCCGUGCAUCGUCCAUUGACCCUAUUCCCGAGUCGGAAGCCGACCCUCGCGGCUAUGGUGCGGCUGCAGAAGUCAAUCCCGGUGUGGGAAAGGACAGCACGAUAUCGCCACUGAGGUCACCGCCGUCCUGGUACAGUGACGAAGCUGCGCUACCUGCCAGUCUCGCCAAUCAACAUCUCAGCCAGUACAAUAGCCUGGUCCGGGGAAAUCGAACAGACGAUGGCAGCUAUCAGAAUAUUUCAAGCAUUCCGUCCCGGUACAAUGAGCAGCCAGAUGGUGCCUCACGGGCCCGACACCCAGUUAAACGGCAGGAGUCUCAGGAACAGGAGGUAGCACUGGCGAUCAGGGGAAUGAACAGCCACUCACGACAGGCCAUUGCUGCCCAGGCCAUGGACCAUUCGGAAACCCCAUCAGAGGACGGACAAGACUAUCAGACGGCAAGAAACGAGUCAGCGCAGAGCUCUCGGGCAGGUGCACACUCCCAGUAAUCUCAGCAGUCGCAGUCACUUGCAGCAGCAGCAGCCAGGCCGGUCGCCAGCGCAUCAGCUAUCACUGCACGACGUGGUGGGGUUCCUCAACAGCCGCGGUACGAUGGCUGUAGCCAACGCCGCUGGGUAUCUUUAGCAUGCAUCGUGUACCAAUCACCAUGUCAAAACUCAACUGAGGGAUCUUGGUGCCAUACCAGCCUUGGUCGGUCUCAUUUUGCAGAGAGAUGAAAUGGUGCAGCACGCUGCCGUGGGUGUGCUAAGAAACAUGUCCUACGGUCCUCACAGCGUCCUUAAUACGUAUGCUGUUUGUGAAGCAGGAGGCGUAGAGGUCCUUGUGCGGCUGUUGCGCAAUGCAAGGUCUUAAAAUCAAUUGACAUGUAUGGUAAAUGGCAUGGGUAUACAGGGCUCCUCUUCACGGAGCAACCACUUGUCUGUGUCAUCUGCAAACGGUCCGAUGGCCGGUAAUACCCAGUCAUUGCCGAACAGUCAUACUAGUGAUACACAUGGCCCGACUCCAACCAUCCCAGUCCAGCCGGUUGCCACAGAUUUCCUGCCCGCAUCCACGUCCACUCCGCACCCCAAUGUCCGGCAAGAGAACGGCCCAAUGCCAGGAGUUACGACGGGCCCACUGCCAGGAAUUACGAUAGGCUCGCUGCCAGGAGUUACGAUAGGCCCGCUGCGAUUGUCCCCGCCAAUGUCGUGUCGCCCACUCAUUUCGGCUUCAAAGGAUCCACUACUCCGUCGCUUCAGGUAAACACCAGUGGAUCAGUUUCAUCUCUAGGUACGGAUGUGUCGGCUAGUACGGCUUUGACUACAACCUCGGGUGCGAGGCAACCAGUGGCGGCUGCGGUGUCUUCUACAGCGCUAUCUCUGCCACAGUCGCAGCAGGUUCUUGCUGAUCUUUAGCAUGCUAUGUGUUGUGCGUGUGUGCGCGCGCGGACACGCAAACACAAUGCCAUGUGUUGUGCGUGCGUGUUGGGUUUGUGUGUGCGCGCGCACGCGCACAAUGCCAUGUGUUGUCCGGUGUGUGCGCGCGCAUGCGCACAAUGCCAUGAUGAGGGUGAGGGCAGUUUUGACAGUGGAUUGAACUGUAAGUCCGACUGUGAAUCGGACAGUGAGUCUGAAAGCUAAGGCUGGUGGACCGUACUAUUGAAGUUUUUGAAUUAAUUUUGAAUUGAUUUGAAUUUGAAUUGUACUUUUCAACUCUGCAGCAAAUGACAAAUAAUCUACUUCGCUAUUAUUUACAACAUCUUCCAUAUCGCUCGUUUGCCAAGAUCGGCUUAUGAUCGCUAUCACUCUGCCGUUUUUGGGUAUCCUUUGCUUCGCUCGUGCUAGGUCUCUUCCGCUGGUGUUGUCGAGAUAGUGUCCCAAUAAAUGAAAUCCUCUCAUA